AUUCCAACCAUGUUUUCUUCCAGAGCACCUCAUGAAAAAGUAACAAUGUGAGGCCCUCAAAGUGGGCGUUCGGAGCUUUAGAGCUGAAAAGCUUGUCUGCUGAAAGUCAGCAUCUUGGCUUACUGUGCACUAAGUUUCCCACAUGCACAAGUCCUCUGUGUGAAAGAAUGAGGACUACUGGGGCAUAAAUCUUAUAAAUGAGUAAAAUGAUAGCUGUCUUGGCAAUGGCAGAUCUUAUAAGGCGUAUUCCACCUGUUGUGGAAAGACAGCAGAUGGCCACAGCAAUCUGUCAGAAGUAUGGGGAUUUAAGGUCUAGCCUUGAAAGAUUCUUUCUCACUGUGUCUCCUCAGAUCUGCCUACAGGAAUAAAAGGAAGAAUUUGAUAAUGGAAUUGGUGGUACUUCCUCUUUUGUGAUUGGCUGUGGAAGAAGCUGCUAUUGCACCAAGUCCCUCCAUCUGUGAGCCCCGUGAGGUGAGUUUCUAAGGCCCUUCUGAAAUCAAGUAGGAGCUAAGGCUACGUUGUUCCACAAAGCAUAGCAUGGGUCUUCUAAGAAGGCACCACAGAAGUCUCAAUCCAAUUCUUGAGGAAAUCAAUGGAAGUUUGAUUGGAGCCAUAGAAAGCCAUGAAGGGAAUUUCAAGAGAUAAAAGUCUGGAGCCAGACAUUCAAAAAUAGGUUUUUAAGUAUGUGUCACUGACCUUCCUUAUGGCUUGCAAAUGCAGUCUGAUUACCCCAACUGAGGUUACUUUAAGGGGAAGGCAAAAAUUUGGACCAGACACGCUAAUACUCAGGAAAAAAUGAAAUGUGAACUUGCUUGGGAGCAUGAGAUUUGAGCUGGGCCACGAAUAGAAGCUUGGACUCUGUUCUUACCUGUAUCUAGAUUUUUCCUCACUCGUGUGAGUAAGCAUGGAGUGGGAUCGAGGACUGGGUUUGAGCAGUUCACCAUGUAUCUCUGCAAGGAUAUUUGAGAAUGUGUUUGACCAAAGCAAUGAGUGAAUCCAGUGCUGGGCUGAGUGAUCUGCAUUCAAGCUCUUAUUACUGUAAUGGUCUUAUCAGAAGAUCUCUGACCCAAAGAGAAAAUAAGAAAUCAACUGCCUUAUCCUUCAUUCCUGUUCAAAGAAGGAAACUUUCACAAGCUUUGCCUGAACUGACUGUCCAGUCAGAGCCUGACCGUGUCUCAAGGACAAAGGAAAUCCCCUGAGGUCAAUAUCUCUGAAAACUUGAAGGCAAGGGUACAGCUAUAUGGAGCAGACCUGUGCUGUAACUGAUACUGAAGAAAAGCUCUUCCAUCAGAACACCUGAAAUAGAAGGAGUCAGCAGCUCAGGAUCUCUCUUUUGGACCAGUGCGCAAGAAUCACGGUAGGUCCCUGCAUCUUUUAUCUCUGCAUUCCUGACUUGUAACCACCACUGUCUUUGGCUGCUGUAUUGUAAACAGUGUUAAAGAUUGUCCUUCUGCAGUAGGUAUGACAGAAGUCUUUCUAGGAGGCUAUAAGAGCCAAGCAGUGUGGUCACUCUUGUUCUUGCUGGUAUCCUCUGACUUUUCUCCAGAGUUGAA